UCUGGCACCAAUUUUUCCACUUCUCAGAAACACUUUGGCGCACAAAUUCCCAAAGCAACCUUGCUCUUCAUUCUGGAAAAUAUGAUGCCAACACCUCAGAAUAAAGGACAGACAGGAGCUUUUGCUUCAAAGGGAAUCAAUCACUUCAUGCAUGUUAAAUUGCCUGAAAGACUCUAAACUUCACAACUUUUGAUCAUAACUCCACUAUAUUUGCAUACAUUCAUUGUUAUAUCUGAAAAGCAUAGGAUAGUUGUUUUUUAAAAUUAAAUGAAGUAAGUUCAUAUGUUAUCGCUAGGUGUAAGAACUGCUAAUGUGGACAACUGCUGAUAAGGACCUCUAUAGAAGUAGAAAAUUCUAAGUGUCCUACUAUCACCAAUAAGAAAUUUUAACAGUCCAGUGGAUACAAUACAAUCACAUGGAAAACUGUAUACAGUAUGUUGUAUGAGAAGAUCCCACAGAAGGAACAGAGCCUGUAAGAUACAUCAUCAUCUAAACUACAGGUGAGAAGAACAUCAAGAUUCUUUAAAGCAAUGGCUCUCAACGUGUGUUUCCUAGACCAGCAGCGUCAGCACUACAUGGAAACCUAGAAAUGCAAACUCUCCAGCCCCGCCUCAGACCUGCCGGAUCGGCAACUGCGAGAAGUCCGUAUUUUCAUCUAUGUUAUAACAGGUCCUUAGGUGACUCCAUGAACACUACAGCUGGCAAACCAUUGCCUUUAACAGUGCACAAGCUGUUAUUUGAGUACAAAAUUGCAGUUUUCUGCGUUGUCGUGACUCUAUUUUUGCAGGAGUAGAAAGGUACCCCAUGGCAGUAGAGAUAAGUGGAUCUGAAACCCCGACAGCAGCUCAAGAGGUUCUUUAUGACAGCUGGAACCUGAACUCCAGUUGCCCUCGGAGGCUUGUGGUUUAACCGUCCCAGAGACAAAUCUGCCACUUCCGGCUUGCAUCCAGCAAAAGUGCAGGUGUUCGUCAUCAGGAGAUGUCGGCUGAUGUAUGCACACAUUUAAGACAGAUUCGAAGGGUCAUGGACAGAUCACCAAUAAGACCAACAUGCAAGACCAGUGGACAGUGUGUGGUCCGGGUCCUAGGACUGACAACUGGGGCCUCAGCACCUGCUUGGGAUGGUGUUUUAUUUUGACUUUUUUCUGAAACAGCAGAGAAACUGCCCAAAUGAUCAAAAUGAGUGGACUUCAUGAGGACAGAUAAUAUUACCAACUGAAUUGUGUACCUCAAAAUUCACAUGUUGAAACCCUAAUCCCCAAGGUGACUGUAUUUGAAGUUGGGCCUACAACAGUAUGAGGACACAGUGAGAAUGUAACCAUCUGUGCACAGGAAGAGAGGCCUCACCAGGAACCAAAUGAGCCAGAACCAUUUUGGACUUCUCAGCUGCCAGAACUGUGAGAAAUAGUCUGUGGUAUUUUGUUAUGGCGGCCCAUGCAGACGAAUACAGAUACCAUGUCUAUGUUGUUCAUUGUCCUAUCUUCUGUGUCUAGCAUGUUACAGUCUCUCAAAUAUAUGUUUAGUAAGAUGCAUACUAGUUAAAAGGCAUUGAUUUUUGGCUUAAGUAAAUAACUGUUGUAUUGUGUUAUAUUUCCAGGAUUUUUUCUAUUUUUCAUAAACUCUGUGAAAAAUUUCACUUAGAAAAAACUAAUACUGUCAUUGGCAUUACAAGAGGUGCUCUACAGGAUUUGUGUGACCCACAGUAGCCCUGCCAAAAAUGCCUGUCAUCCACUUAUGGACAGACUUAGCUUAAAAUUCUUCUAGAGCUAGCAAUGGGAUAUCUCCCUUUAUUUUCUCUGUGGUACAGAGACAGUUUUCCAUUAAUUUUCUCAUAAGGGCUUUCCAUGAACAUGGUAAAUAAAAAAAGAGAGAAAGCAACAAGUCAGAGCACUCUAAGUAGGUAGGUUUCAUGGGAGCAAAGAGGUGAACAGGAGAGCAGAAAUGUGAACAGACCAGAUGUCUUGGAGGCUUGAGAACAGUAACCAUGGUGUGAGAACAAUAUUAAGACUUUUAUUUUUAUUUUCCAAAUAGUUUUUAAAAGGCUUUAAGCCAGGUACAGUGGCUCAUGCCUAUAAUCCCAGCACUUUGGGAGGCUGAAGCGGGUGGAUCACUUGAGGUCAGGUGUUUGUGACCAGCCCGGCCAGCAUGGUGAAAUCCUGUCACUACUAAAAAUACAAAAAUCAGCUGGGCAUGGUGGUAUGCACCUGUGAUCCUAGGCACUCAGGAGGCUGAGGCACGAGAACUGCUUGAACCCAGGAGGCAGAGGUUGCAGUGAUUGAGAUUGUGCCACUGCACUCCAGCUUGGGUGACAGAGUGAGACUCCUUCUCAAAAACAAAAACAAAACAAACAAAGAGGCUGAGGUGAGAGGAUUCCUUGAGCCCAGAAUUUCAAGGCUGCAUGUGCUAUGAUCACACCACUGCACUCCAGCCUGGGCAACAGAGCAAGACCCCAUCUCAGAAAAAGCCUUUAUCCCUUUUUAAAUGUCUAUAAAAGGCAUCCUUUUCAAAUGUUUAUUUUAUAUGUGAUUUACAACGUGCAUAAAAAUAGUGCAGUAAUAUGUGUAUUUAACCUAUAGAUAAGUAAUGAUACAUCUACUGGGAAUGCAGGAUGAAUGUUGUUGUUUUCCAAUUGGAAACAUAUAAUAAAAAAAUAUCUAAAGGCUGUUGCUCUUGACUCAGAGAUGGCAGGAAGGUGGAAACAAAAUGUAGAGGUCCAAACACUAAUGGGUUAACUAAAAGUCAACAGAAUAGCAGUGGCAAAAAGCUUCCCACACUCCUCUGCUGCCUGCCUCUCUCCUUCCUGAGCCAGUCAGGCAUUUGUCCAAAUCACCCUUAGGCAAAAAAUUAUAGAUUUGUUCUUCUUAAUUGAAUUAACCACCCUGGCAAUAUCAUUGCACUCUUCAGUAAGCCAAAGUAAAGAUUGCACAACUCUGGCAGUUGCUGUCCAGAGCCUUACAAUGU